rnacentral:rRNA from 1 species
GAGUUUGAUCAUGGCUCAGGACGAACGCUGGCGGCGUGCUUAACACAUGCAAGUCGAACGGGAAACUUUAUUUCGGUAAAGGAUCUAGUGGCAAACGGGUGAGUAACGCGUAGGCAACCUGCCCUUAGGAUGGGGACAACGGCCCGAAAGGACCGCUAAUACCGAAUGCACUCUAACUUCCGCAUGGAAGAAAGAGGAAAGAUGGUGCAAGCCAUCGCCGAAGGAAGGGCCUGCGUCUGAUUAGCCAGUUGGUGAGGUAACGGCUCACCAAAGCGACGAUCAGUAGCCGGUCUGAGAGGAUGAACGGCCACAAUGGGACUGAGACACGGCCCAUACUCCUACGGGAGGCAGCAGUGGGGAAUCUUCCGCAAUGGGCGAAAGCCUGACGGAGCAACGCCGCGUGAGUGAAGAAGGUCUUCGGAUCGUAAAGCUCUGUUGUUGGGGACGAAAGGAAAAGGGAGGAAAUGCCCUUUUAAGACG